GGCGGACGGGUGAGUAAUGUCUGGGAAACUGCCUGAUGAGGGGGAUAACUACUGGAAACGGUAGCUAAUACCGCAUAAUGUCGCAAGACCAAAGAGGGGGACCUUCGGGCCUCUUGCCAUCGGAUGUGCCCAGAUGGGAUUAGCUUGUUGGUGGGGUAACGGCUCACCAAGGCGACGAUCCCUAGCUGGUCUGAGAGGAUGACCAGCCACACUGGAACUGAGACACGGUCCAGACUCCUACGGGAGGCAGCAUG
rnacentral:rRNA from 1 species